rnacentral:rRNA from 1 species
UGGGGAAUUUUGCACAAUGGGGGAAACCCUGAUGCAGCGACGCCGCGUGAUUUAGAAGGCCUUCGGGUUGUAAAAAUCUUUUUUACGGGAUGAAAAUGACAGUACCGUAAGAAUAAGGUCCGGCUAAAUACGUGCCAGCAGCCGCGGUAAUACGUAUGGACCGAGCGUUGUCCGGAAUCAUUGGGCGUAAAGGGUACGUAGGCGUCCUAAUAAGUUAGAAGUGAAAGAAUAUAGCUCAACUAUAUAAAGCUUUUAAAACUGUUAGGCUUGAGAGAGGAAAGGGAAAGUGGAAUUCCUAGUGUAGCGGUGAAAUGCGCAGAUAUUAGGAAGAAUACCGGUGCGAAGGCGACUUUCUGGUCAUCAUCUGACGCUGAGGUACGAAAGCGUGGGUAGCAAACAGG